GUGAGAAUUAGAUAUCGCUUGGUAUCAACUCUCGUUAUUUAAUUUCAAUAAUAAUAAACUCUCCAUAAAUAAUUCGAGUUGAUAUCAAUCGAUAUCUAAUUCUCA
rnacentral:sRNA from 1 species